CCUACGGGAGGCAGCAGUAAGGAAUAUUGGUCAAUGGGGGCAACCCUGAACCAGCCAUGCCGCGUGCAGGAUGAUUGCCCUAUGGGUUGUAAACUGCUUUUGUCGGGGAAUAAACCCCACUACGUGUAGUGGGCUGAAUGUACCCGAAGAAUAAGGAUCGGCUAACUCCGUGCCAGCAGCCGCGGUAAUACGGAGGAUCCGAGCGUUAUCCGGAUUUAUUGGGUUUAAAGGGUGCGUAGGCGGCACUUUAAGUCAGGGGUGAAAGACGGCAGCUCAACUGUCGCAGUGCCCUUGAUACUGAAGUGCUUGAAUGCGAUUGAAGACGGCGGAAUGAGACAAGUAGCGGUGAAAUGCAUAGAUAUGUCUCAGAACACCGAUUGCGAAGGCAGCUGUCUAAGCCGUUAUUGACGCUGAUGCACGAAAGCGUGGGGAUCGAACAGGAUUAGAUACCCUGGUAG
rnacentral:rRNA from 1 species